UACUUUUGAUUCUUUCCUAUUCUGACUUUCCUAAAAUAAUCAGGAAACUUUCUUUUCUAAUGAGAUAGGGAAACCAUUUGCAGUCAGAAAACCUAAUCCAACUUGGAAUAGGAAUAUGUGAAUGUGUAUAAAAGGGGGAGGACGAAUUCUGCAGCAAUCAAGGAUUUUAUAUGUGCUAAUCAGAGAAUUAAGGGAGAUUCUUUCCUUUAUAUUCGUCAUUUAAAUUAUGUCCAUCCUACCUUAUUUAUCUGACUUUAUUCCCCUUGCAGGAACCCUAAUUAUGCACCAGGAAAGGAAGGAAAAUCAUGGAUUUUCGUCAAAGGUCUGAUUGAGGGCAGAAGAGGGAAAGUUCUUAAUCACAGGGAUUUCCUUUGGAGAACAAGGAGUGUACCUGGUCCAUAUUCAAGUCUUACGCAAUGGAUUACUGCACAAGACAUUCUAGAGAAUUGUGGGAAGGUCUAAAUCAAGAUUUAAAGCAAUAAUUCUGCACCGUUGGAUCACAAAUCAAUCAAGGGCUAGGGUUCGGCCAAGACAGUAUAUAAAGCAGCAGAGAGCAACGUUUUCAUGGAUCACUUCCUACGCUCUAGAUAUUCAGAAAUGUUCUCUUAGUUUCUCUCAUUGCCGUGAGUCCCUAGAAGAAGAAGAAGAGAAGCCCUUGCUGCCUCGGACGUUCCAGGGAGUACUGAAGCCCUAGCACAGCCUUGCACGACCUCAAGUUCUUGAUCGGCCAAUCAGUCCAUUGAAAAGUGUAAAUCUAUGUCUAGUACUUUCUGGCCAUCUUCUUUUGUUUUUAGUUUUCGUUUAAGAACCAUGUGUUUUAUUUUCCGAAUUGGAUGGAAUCUUUGUUGAGAACUAAGUGAUUUUCAGAUAAUAAUAGUUAUGAUUUCAUUGUUCUAAUGAUGUUAUGCGAUUGAGUCAGUUGCCUUAGAAAUUCAUUGAAAGCAUGUUUGUAUUUGAUAUACCUAUGUUAGAAUGCAUGCUAACUAAUGCUAUGAUCUGUGCUAAGCCUCGUAGGUAAGUAUAGAUCACCAGUAGUGGAGGCCAUAUCCUGUAAAGUUAGGAACAUGUUUUGCAUUGUGAAUGGUUAAGCGUUGUACGUAAACUCAUUGCAUGUUAGGGUUCGUUCUUUUACUUAAUGAUUUGCAUGUUUGUAGACAGAUACUUACAGUAUUGAUAGCAGUGAUACACGCAUUUUACGUUAUAUUCUUAAUGUAUUUUCUACCCUAUUUAGCUUCGUUAAUUCCUUAAUAAUGCCAUUUCUAGCUUGUUUCUGUGUUGUAGGUCAAAAGAGGCAGUUUUACACAAAAAAGAAGGCUAAAACACAAGAGUUGAGCGAAAUCCUAAUCAAAGGAGGAUUCCUGGUGCAGCAAGGAGUCUCAUUAAGUCGCAGAAUCAAAGGAUAAAUCGUUUAGGAAACAUUCCUGUUUUAAAAAGGGAAAGUUGCCUAUUUCAUUUUAAGAAACUUUCUUAUUUUGAUUUAGGAAACUUACUAUGUCUGAAUCUUUCCUAUUCUGACUUUCCUAAAAUAAUUAGGAAAGUUUCUUUUCUAAUGAGACAGGGUAACCAUUUGCAGUCAGAAAACCUAAUCCAACUCGGAAUAGGAAUCUGUGAAUGUGUAUAAAAGGGGGAGGACGAAUUCUGCAGCAAUCAAGGAUUUUAUAUUUGCUAAUCAGAGAAUUAAGGGAGAUUCUUUCCUUUAAAUUCGUCAUUUAAAUUCUGUUAUUCCCUACCAUAUCUAUCUAAUUUUAUUUCCCUUGCAGAACCCUAAUUGCGCGCACCAGGAAAGGGAGGAAAAUCAUGGAUUUUAAAUCAGAGGCUUGAUUGAUAGCAGAAGAGGAUAAGUUCUUAAUCACAGGGAAUUCCAUUGGAGAACAAGUUGUGUACCUGGUCCAUAUUCAAGCCUUAUGGAAUGGAUUACUGCACAAGACAAUCCAGAGAAUUCUGGGAAAGUCUAAAUCAGAUUUAAAUCAAUAAUUCUACACUGUUGGAUCACAAAUCAAUCAAGGGCUAGGAGGAUAGCUAGGGUUUCGCCAAGACACUAUAUAAAGGAGCAGAGAGAAACGUUUCUUCAUCUCUUCUUCGCACAGUAAUCGGCAUUUUCGCACGAUCUUACGAGAUUGCGAACAUAUCAACGUUCUCGGAAUCUGCCGAAACCAAAUUCUUGGCUCCUUUUGGGACCUCCAUACACCCACAACAUUGAUCUUUCAACUUUUUUUGAGAAAAUUUGACGUGUUAUUUUUUCGCACGAUCUUAGAGAUUGCGAACAUAUCAACGUUCUCGGAAUCUGCCGAUACCAAAUUCUUGGCUCUUUUUGGGACCUCCAUACACCCACAACAUUGAUCUUUCAACUUUUUUUGAGAAAAUUUGAGGUGUUAUUUUGGCAUUUUCGCACGAUCUUACGAGAUUGCGAACAUAUCAACGUUCUCGGAAUCUGCCGAAACCAAAUUCUUGGCUCUUUGUGGGACCUCCAUACACCCACAACAUUGAUCUUUCAACUUUUUUUGAGAAAAUUUGAGGUGUUAUUUUGGCAUUUUCGCACGAUCUUACGAGAUUGCGAACAUAUCAACGUUCUCGGAAUCUGCCGAAACCAAAUUCUUGGCUCUUUUUGGGACCUCCAUACACCCACAACAUUGAUCUUUCAACUUUUUUUGAGAAAAUUUGACGUGUUAUUUUGGCAUUUUCGCACGAUCUUACGAGAUUACGAUCAUAUCAACGUUCUCGGAAUCUGCCGAAACCAAAUUCUUGGCUCUUUUUGGGACCUCCAUACACCCACAACAAUGAUCUUUCAACUUUUUUUGAGAAAAUUAGACGUGUUAUUUUUUCGCACGAUCUUACGAGAUUGCGAACAUAUCAACGUUCUCGGAAUCUGCCGAAACCAAAUUCUUGGCUCUUUUUGGGUACCUCCAUACACCCACAACAUUGAUCUUUCAACUUUUUUUGUAGAAAAUUU
rnacentral:lncRNA from 1 species